UGAUGAACGCUAGCUACAGGCUUAACACAUGCAAGUCGAGGGGUAUCAGGAAGAAAGCUUGCUUUCUUUGCUGGCGACCGGCGCACGGGUGAGUAACACGUAUCCAACCUGCCCUUUACUCGGGGAUAGCCUUUCGAAAGAAAGAUUAAUACCCGAUAGUAUAAUGAUUCCGCAUGGUUUGAUUAUUAAAGGAUUCCGGUAAAGGAUGGGGAUGCGUUCCAUUAGGUUGUUGGUGAGGUAACGGCUCACCAAGCCUUCGAUGGAUAGGGGUUCUGAGAGGAAGGUCCCCCACAUUGGAACUGAGACACGGUCCAAACUCCUACGGGAGGCAGCAGUGAGGAAUAUUGGUCAAUGGGCGGUAGCCUGAACCAGCCAAGUAGCGUGAAGGAUGAAGGCUCUAUGGGUCGUAAACUUCUUUUAUAUAAGAAUAAAGUGCAGUAUGUAUACUGUUUUGUAUGUAUUAUAUGAAUAAGGAUCGGCUAACUCCGUGCCAGCAGCCGCGGUAAUACGGAGGAUCCGAGCGUUAUCCGGAUUUAUUGGGUUUAAAGGGAGCGUAGGUGGACUGGUAAGUCAGUUGUGAAAGUUUGCGGCUCAACCGUAAAAUUGCAGUUGAUACUGUCAGUCUUGAGUACAGUAGAGGUGGGCGGAAUUCGUGGUGUAGCGGUGAAACGCUUAGAUAUCACAAAGAACUCCGAUUGCGAAGGCAGCUCACUGGACUGCAACUGACACUGAUGCUCGAAAGUGUGGGUAUCAAACAGGAUUAGAUACCCUGGUAGUCCACACAGUAAACGAUGAAUACUCGCUGUUUGCGAUAUACAGUAAGCGGCCAAGCGAAAGCAUUAAGUAUUCCACCUGGGGAGUACGCCGGCAACGGUGAAACUCAAAGGAAUUGACGGGGGCCCGCACAAGCGGAGGAACAUGUGGUUUAAUUCGAUGAUACGCGAGGAACCUUACCCGGGCUUAAAUUGCAGUGGAAUGAUGUGGAAACAUGUCAGUGAGCAAUCACCGCUGUGAAGGUGCUGCAUGGUUGUCGUCAGCUCGUGCCGUGAGGUGUCGGCUUAAGUGCCAUAACGAGCGCAACCCUUAUCUUUAGUUACUAACAGGUCAUGCUGAGGACUCUAGAGAGACUGCCGUCGUAAGAUGUGAGGAAGGUGGGGAUGACGUCAAAUCAGCACGGCCCUUACGUCCGGGGCUACACACGUGUUACAAUGGGGGGUACAGAAGGCAGCUAGCGGGUGACCGUAUGCUAAUCCCAAAAGCCUCUCUCAGUUCGGAUCGAAGUCUGCAACCCGACUUCGUGAAGCUGGAUUCGCUAGUAAUCGCGCAUCAGCCACGGCGCGGUGAAUACGUUCCCGGGCCUUGUACACACCGCCCGUCAAGCCAUGGGAGCCGGGGGUACCUGAAGUACGUAACCGCAAGGAUCGUCCUAGGGUAA
rnacentral:rRNA from 1 species